rnacentral:rRNA from 1 species
ACGCUCGACACCUACGGGAGGCAGCAGUGGGGAAUAUUGCACAAUGGGGGAAACCCUGAUGCAGCGACGCCGCGUGAGCGAAGAAGUAUUUCGGUAUGUAAAGCUCUAUCAGCAGGGAAGAAACUGACGGUACCUGACUAAGAAGCACCGGCUAAAUACGUGCCAGCAGCCGAGGUAAUCUGAGCGGGCUGGCAAGGC